rnacentral:hammerhead_ribozyme from 1 species
AUCCAACUAAUGAGACCCAAACAGAACGAAACGCGCGUCCUGGAU